CAAUGGGCGAAAGCCUGACGGAGCAACGCCGCGUGAGUGAUGAAGGUCUUCGGAUCGUAAAACUCUGUUAUUAGGGAAGAACAUAUGUGUAAGUAACUGUGCACAUCUUGACGGUACCUAAUCAGAAAGCCACGGCUAACUACGUGCCAGCAGCCGCGGUAAUACGUAGGUGGCAAGCGUUAUCCGGAAUUAUUGGGCGUAAAGCGCGCGUAGGCGGUUUUUUAAGUCUGAUGUGAAAGCCCACGGCUCAACCGUGGAGGGUCAUUGGAAACUGGAAAACUUGAGUGCAGAAGAGGAAAGUGGAAUUCCAUGUGUAGCGGUGAAAUGCGCAGAGAUAUGGAGGAACACCAGUGGCGAAGGCGACUUUCUGGUCUGUAACUGACGCUGAUGUGCGAAAGCGUGGGGAUCAAACAGGAUUAGAUACCCUGGUAGUCCACGCCGUAAACGAUGAGUGCUAAGUGUUAGGGGG
rnacentral:rRNA from 1 species